GAACAAGUACAAAUUGUGCGCUGUUGUUGGGUGACUUGUCCGUGAGCUGAUACUACAAUUUAUUGAAGCUGCUUGAAAUAUAAGCUGCUCUCAAUAUGGUAUCUUAGUUCCGAACGCAUCACACGCCCCAACAAACUUCAAUAAAUUGUAAUUCCACAAAAAGCACUCCGCCAUGGAAAGUGUAGAAGAAGAGCUUUCCCUUCUAGAAAAGAAGAAUGAGUUGUGGCGGAAGCAAUACGAUAAAAGGGUGAAAAUUAUGGAGCUUCGCUACGAGCAAGAUCUAGCAAAAAUCGACGAGGAGUUCAGGAAA